rnacentral:lncRNA from 1 species
AGCUCUGCCUUCUCUCUACUUUCUCUCUCUAAAAUUUCUAUGAUUUCUCGGUCUAAUAUGAAUGUUUACAAAUUCUAAGAUAAUAUUAGUUCAAAUAUGUAUAUUCCUUUUCUAAGUACUUGUAAACAUACACACUUUAAAUUCAUUCAUCUCUCGUUAUCAAGGGACGUGACAGGAAAAAUAGAUUUUCUAUGAUUUCUCGGUCUAAUAUGAAUGUCUACAUGGUAUCAGAGCCUCGACGCCGAUCCGACUAUGUUUCUAUGUGCUUCGUUAUCUUGGAUGAAGUCUGUUUCGAGGUUUUGGGGGUGAUUCCUGAGACCUCACGGUCGAUGAAGAUUCCGACUCAUCGGAGACCUUUCUGAGUCUUUCGUCGUGAUAUCGGAGUGUAUUUUCUUCUCCUGAACGUUCUGGAAGAUUUUAUGAUGAUUUUUGGUUGAUUUUGGGUGACUUAUCUUCUUCUCCUGAACAUUCUGGAAGAUUUUAUGAUGAUUUUUGGUUGAUUUUGGGUGACCUAUCGGCUUCUAGGGUUUCUGGUGAUUUAACCUGAAGUUUUACUGCCAUCCAGUGGCUCGAUUCUCACUCAGUGGACGUUUUGGGUGCCUCUCCGACGUUCGUGACUACAUUUCUAGUAAGGUUUUUCAAGGUUACACCUAGGGUUUCUCUGUUGUUUGAAGGCCGAUCUUCUCCGGUCGCGAAGAAGGAAGGUAACUCUGUCCUUAUCUUCGGUAUCAUAUGUGAUUAUUUGACUCUGUACAUGUGAGCAUCUGGUGUUGUCUGUGAAUACCUGACUUGGAUAUAUUCUGUUUGUUGGUUGUUGUGUUUGAAUACCUGUUUUGGUUGUAUUCUGUUUGUUGAAAAGUUGUUCAUUUAAGCCGGUUCAUUGACUAUGGCUUCUAGCACAAAUACUGGUGCCUCCUCUUCUGUAGACUCUUCCUGUCCCCUUUUUGUAUAUUCUUCUGAUGUCCCUGGGGUAUCUCUCGUUCCCACUCCCUUCUCGGGUAGUGGUUAUGGAGGCUGGAGACGUAAAAUGAUUGUUGCCUUCUCAGCCAAAAACAAAAUCAGUUUUGUUGAUGGCACAUACUCCCGACCUACCACCAAUGUGGCUCAACAGAGGUUGUCUAAAAUGAUUGUUGCCUUAUCAGCCAAAAACAAAAUCAGUUUUGUUGAUGGCACAUAGUCCCGACCUACCACCAAUGUGGCUCAACAAAGGUUGUGGGAUAGGUGCAACAACAUGGUGAUUNNNNNNNNNNNNNNNNNNNNNNNNNNNNNNNNNNNNNNNNNNNNNNNNGGCAGCCUGUUGGAUUUAACAAGGCCACAGUGUCUGUUCCUCCUCCUCCUUUUAGACAGAGAGUCAAUUUUGACCAACAGAGAGUCAAUUUUGACCAAGCGAGGGGACCUUUAUUUUGUAGAUACUGUAAAAAAAUCUGGACACUUAAUUGAUAAGUGCUUCAAGAUCCAUGGGAAUCCGCAAAGUACCACCUUUAUCAAGGGAAGGAGGCCUACUGCUGCUCAUCUGAGUACUGGUCUGGAUUCUUCUAUUUCUGAUAGACUGUUGUCUGUUCCUCAAGGGAAUCCUCCUUCUAGCCAUCAAUCUGUUGCAAGACUAGAUGGCCAAAGCUCUGUGAUACCUGGGUUGAGCAGACAUGAUUAUGACCAGUUGAUGAACUUGUUACACCAGACCAAGUUGGGGGA